CGGAGCCCUCAGAGCGCGGCAGGGCGGCGGCAGGUGCCGUUCCCGGCCGCUGAGAGCCGCGGCCCCGCCGUGGGCUGGGCUGGCACUUCCACGGCCAUCCCUUCCCCGAGGAACUGUGAAGAGCACGGAAAUGCCGUGAUGGACGGCGACAUGGGAGUUACAGCUGAAAACGAUUCGUUUUUGUAUUUCGCUGUGCAAUAAAAGAUGAAAUGCUUAAAAGCUAAA